rnacentral:rRNA from 1 species
AAAGACGGUACCAGAGGAGGAAGCUCCAGCUAACUACGUGCCAGCAGCCGCGGUAAUACGUAGGGAGCGAGCGUUGUCCGGAAUUACUGGGUGUAAAGGGAGAGCAGGCGGGAUCGCAAGUCAGAUGUGAAAUCUAUGGGCUUAACCCAUAAACUGCAUUUGAAACUGUGGUUCUUGAGUGAAGUAGAGGUAAGCGGAAUUCCUAGUGUAGCGGUGAAAUGCGUAGAUAUUAGGAGGAACAUCGGUGGCGAAGGCGGCUUACUGGGCUUUAACUGACGGUGAGGCUUGAAAGCGUGGGGAGCAACCAGGAUUAGAUACCCUGGUAGUCCACGCCGUAAACGAUGAUUACUAGGUGUGGGGGGCCCGACCCCUUCCCGUGCCGCAGCAAACGCAAUAAGUAAUCCACCUGGGGAGUACGACCGCAAGGUUGAAACUCAAAGGAAUUGACGGGGGCCCGCACAAGCAGUGGAGUAUGUGGAUUAAUUCGAAGCAACGCGAAGAACCUUACCAGGUCUUGACAUCGUAUGCAUAGCUCAGAGAUGAGUGAAAUCUCUUCGGAGACAUAUAGACAGGUGGUGCAUGGUUGUCGUCAGCUCGUGUCGUGAGAUGUUGGGUUAAGUCCCGCAACGAGCGCAACCCUUACUGUUAGUUGCUACGCAAGAGCACUCUAGCAGGACUGCCGUUGACAAAACGGAGGAAGGUGGGGAUGACGUCAAAUCAUCAUGCCCCUUAUGACCUGGGCCUCACACGUACUACAAUGGCUGUAAACAGAGGGAUGCAAAGCCGCGAGGUGGAGCGAACCCCUAAAAGCAGUCUUAGUUCGGAUUGUAGGCUGCAACCCGCCUACAUGAAGUCGGGAUUGCUAGUAAUCGCGGAUCAGCAUGCCGCGGUGAAUACGUAACCGGGUCUUGCACACACCGCCCGUCA